rnacentral:lncRNA from 7 species
UUACACGAUUCUGCCCUAAACAUCGAUUCGGUAGGACCAAACAUAGAGGAGAAUGAGACGAACGUAAUAGGCGCUUACUUAGGGUAAUCCGAGACGGUGUCGUGUCCGACCACGGAGCUUGGCGGCUCGGCGAAGAAUUUCCGCCACGGCGAGCAAUUCGCGAGCAAUCGAGGCCCAUUCAUGGAAGAAGAUGUCCUGCCAACGACCGCACGAUCCUCCCUGACUACUUCCUGGCUCUAAUCGACAGCAGGAUUCGGUACUCUACGACGAACCAAGCACGGCCGCAUUCUCCCUUCUCUCUCCCACGAUUCUCUGUGUUUCAAGUGCUCUGAUCACUACGACGAGGCGAGGGGGAAGAGGUGGUGGUCAUGUAAUGGCGAGGUCCAAGCGCUGCAGUCGAUGCACCCUGGAUUAUGGAGGUCGAGGUCUGCCAAUUUCGGUCGAAUUGGUUGCAGGCGUCUGUGCGGAGUUCGGCGAUGCUGUUAGCGGACGACCUGGCGCACCAGGCCCACCUGGCAUCGUCACAAAAGAGGAGACCGGUAUACGUCCGAAGAGGCCGACGAGUGGGGCACAGUUGACAGUGGCACGCGGGUGUAUCAGCUGUGGUCAAGUACUCUUGGGCGCUCGUGGGCCGGGAUCGGCUGGUUGGGUUAGAAUGGUGGCGGCCGACC